rnacentral:rRNA from 1 species
CAUAGGUUUGGUCCCAGCCUUCCUGUUAACUCUUAAUAAACUUACACAUGCAAGCAUCUACACCCCAGUGAGAAUGCCCUCUAGGUUAUUAAAACUAAGAGGAGCUGGCAUCAAGCACACACCCUGUAGCUCACGACGCCUUGCUUAACCACACCCCCACGGGAAACAGCAGUGACAAAAAUUAAGCCAUAAACGAAAGUUUGACUAAGUUAUAUUAAUUAGGGUUGGUAAAUCUCGUGCCAGCCAC